rnacentral:rRNA from 1 species
UACGUAAGAGGCAAGCGUUAUUCGUCAUUAUUGGGCGGAAAGAGCUCGUAGGCGGUCUGUUGCGUCUGCUGUGAAAACUCGGGGCUUAACCCCGAGCCUGCAGUGGAUACGGGCAGACUAGAGGUAGGUAGGGGAGAAUGGAAUUCCCGGUGUAGCGGUGAAAUGCGCAGAUAUCGGGAGGAACACCGGUGGCGAAGGCGGUUCUCUGGGCCUUACCUGACGCUGAGGAGCGAAAGCGUGGGGAGCGAACAGG